GCUUCUUCUUUUUUUUUUUUUUGUCUCUGGCUUGAAUGAAUUUGAUCUUGAAUCGAAUUGGAAAGAUUAUUCUAUACAGUAUAAUUCAAAAUUUAAAAUUAUACCAACAUGUUUAAAAAUAAACAGGUUCUGAUAUGGAUUAUUACUAUUAAAAGUAAAGUCUUAAUUUAAUUAGUAUGGAUAUUGUUAGGGUAGGCCCAAAUAUUUGGAAGCCCAAACACUCAAACUUGAUAAUAAAGGCUAUCCCUAGGCCUUUAGUCAUAGAUGGCAGUGCAAUGGUCCAUUGCCUGAGGCAAACUGCUGAUUAGAUUGGAGCCACUCAUCAUCCCACAUGAAGGGGACCACCAGUAACCUUUUUUGUUUCCUGACUUGUCUCUUUAGGGGAAAAGACUUAUUCUAAAUAGAGAGCAAAAUGAACUGAAAAAGGUUGGAUUAUAUUGCACACACAAUUAUUGUAAUACUUUAUUUUUCUACCCGAAUACUUGCAGGCAUUAUUCGAUAGAGUCACCCCUUGAACCACCAUGAGAACGUAAGUUGCAGGUUCGGAGCACUAAUCAAACCGACCCCUGCUGAAAGCUCUCCCAUCUCCUAAUCCAGGGAGGAGAAGGAUCAAUUGCUAUUAAUUCAAAUUAUUCAUUGCGUUAAAAAAAAUAUAUACUCUCUUCCAGAAAAGUGUUAUUUUUUAUUUAUUUUUUUAACUCAACUUGUUUAAUUUUAUAAUUUAAAAUUAAUAUAAAUUCAUUUAAUUUUGAGUAAUGAAACAGUUCAUAUUGAAGUAAACUACUUCAAUAUUACUAGGUAUGUAUAAAUCAAAAUAAGUUAGCAUCACAUAAGAAUUUCACAAAUUAACUACUUCCUAUUCCUCAUAGUAUAAGUCGAUUUAGAAUUGUGCUCAAAUAUUAAAAAAAAAAAAUUGUAUAACAUUAAAUAUAAAUUGUCUAUAUUGUCUCUAUAUUGAAAAAAGAUAUUGUUAUUUAUUAGGCAAAAACAGUUAGAUAACCAAAAUUAUAUUUAAUACUUAGAAAAGUUUUGAAAACUAAGUAAUUAAUGUUUAUUUGACGUUCUCAAACGACAUAUAUUAAGAGAAAAAACAUUUUUUUAAAACAACUUAUAUUAACAAUCAACUCAUUAAACUAUAACAUUUUUAUAAAAAUUAAAAUUUUCAUCUAAAAGUAUUAAAAGUUAACAUAAUAUUUAUGUGACACCGCAUCAUAGGGCAAAAAUCCAAAAAUAUCCCUGAUGUUUACCCCAAUUUCUCACUUCCACCCUAAACUAUUUUUUUUUAAAAAAAUACACUUAACGUUAUAAAAUUUGGGUCAACUGUGCCCCUCUCGUUAACGGAUCUGCCACUCAGACAAACGUGACCAACACCUAAACAAUUUUUAGUGAGAAGAUUGACACCUGGAUAAAUUUUUAUUACCCAAAAUAUUCAGAUUUAUUUUUUCUCUCUAAACCCUUUUCUCUGUAAACUCAUUUUACUCGGAUCUAUUUACCUUCUCCUCCGAAACUUUAAUUUCCUCAGGCACCGGUUCAAGCUCUCGCUUCUUCUCUUUCACCGGCUGCUCAUCUUCUUUCUCUCCGACGAAACAUUAGACAUCUCCAUAUAUAUCUUCCGGAGACUGUGCUUGAAGCUUAAUGUUAAGAAAAACUCCAAGAGCCUGCAUAAACCUUGGAUCCUUCAAAUAAAGAUUCAAAUUGUCGGGGGUUUUCUGAAGGUUGUUCAUCAUAUUAACAAAAUCUAGUUGUUGCAUAUAACCCUUAGUUGACGGGUCGGAGGUAAGAUCUGUUGGAGUAGAGGUCGUUAUUAUUGGGAUGAAAGAUGAGGCAGAGAUCUAAGUUAUUUUGCGUGUAAGUCGAUAGCUCUAUCAUGUUGGCUCUUACUAUCAUUGUCUAAGCCUUCAGGUUGUGUUUCAGUUUUCUGUAUUUUGUGUUUUGAUUCUGGAGUUCAUAAAAUUUUAUGGGAAUUUGUUUUUUCCUUAUCAGUAUUUGAGAUUUGAUGAUUGUGUUAUUUCUAAUAGUUCCUUAUUUUGUUACUUCAAAACUAAAAGUGAACUUUAUGAUUUUCCAAUUGCUUUUAGUCGAUGUUCUUAAUAUGGCCAAUCAAAAGAGAUUUAGAGUUUGGUUGGGCUUGAGCUCAUGCAUCUCUUGAUGUCGUUAAUGUGUGUUAAAAAAUAGUAUUCAGCUUUACUUUUUUGGCUACAGUGCAAAUUAUUGUAAUGUUGACGAAAAUGUGUUACAGUGUAUUAUCUUGUAUCGUGUAAUAAUGGAAACAUGGAGGUUGUUCAUCCUGGAUCUAAGCAGCUUCAUCCGAAUUUACAGAAAAUAGGUUUAGAGAGAGAAAAUGGCAGACACUAAAUAAUGAUCGGAUGAGUUUGAAAUUAAGUGGUUUAAUUUGUUUUAAUUAGGAGUUAAAAUUCAAUCUUCAUGUUUUGUCACUAAAAUUUGUCUAAUCACGUCAACCACGUUAGUCUAGAUGACAAACAUUAGAGGCAUUUUUAGAUAUUUCCCUCACAUAGUAUGCUUAGGUGAAUAUUCAAUAAUUAAAAAACACAACAAAUUAAUUAAUAACUAAACAUAAAAUCAAAAACAAAAAUAAGUCCAAAUCAAAUCAAAGCAUGCUUUUUCGUAUUCCUCUUCCUCCUUUAUUUUUUUCAAGUGAUAAAUUCCCUAAAAAAACCCUAAAUUUCAAGUUUUGUAUCAUUACGAAGCAACUAAUUCAACAUCUAAAACUUUUUCGAUCUUCAUAAUCCUUCAUCAACAACCCGAUUUUCCGGGAUGGAAUCACCGGUGUUGUGCAAUCAAUGAAGCAUUCUAGGUUUGAUUGAAUUGACCUUUUCUCUAAAAUCAUAUGGUUUCAAUAAGAUAGAGAGAGAAAGGUUUUACAGCUUUCCCUCUCCUACCCCUGAAAAUAGAAGAAGCCUACGUAACAGAGGAAAAAACAAAGAUUGAGAGAGGAAAUGAUGGGCGAGAGAAUUUAACGGGAUUUUUUUGCUGUUACGUAGAGAGAAAAUGAGAGAGGAAAGAGGGAGAAGAGGGAAAUUGUUUACACGAAUUCUAUUUAUUGACUUCUACACACCUAAUUUUUAUACAAAUUCUCUCUCCCAAAACUCUCUCUCUCUCCUUGUUUACUCUUUGAAAAAAUCAAAAGAAUUCUUUGCAGAAUAUUCUCAAUUCAUUAUCCUAUGGCCUAUGCCAGGCUCCGCCGAGUUUUUCUCGUCAACAAAGGGAAGCCAGAAAAAUAAAUAAAUAAGGGAAUUGAUAUUUUUACCUAAUUUUUUGAUAUUUUAACAUGAAAAGUGUCUCCAUAGGAUGCGACGAUUUUCACGUGAAAACAUCAAAAAAUCAUGUAGAAACUUCUAAAAAAUAAACCCAAAAAACUGUUGAAAACAAGUUAAAUAAUUUCACUUACCUUGAAGAAAACUCAAACGCAACCCAAAGAUUGAGACUUCACUUCAAUUAAGUGGCGACAAUUCAAAGCUAAUCUAAACCCAGAAACUCAAAUCUACAAUAUGCCAUCCACAAUUCCAUCUUCAUCUCCGUAAUCUCCGUAGAUAAAAAAAAGUAGAGAAUGAAAAAAAUUAGAGAGAUUUUUUUCUUUCUAAUUUUCACCCACACCACACUCACACACCCAAUAAUUGUAAUUUCCUCAUGACAGCCUUAUGGACGAAUUUUGGAAACCCACUUGUUAGUUCAAUAAAAUUAAGUUUUUUUUUGUCGUUAAAAGUCAACUGAUUUAAAAAGAUUUUGUAAUAUUUUGUUAAAAAAAUAUAAUACAAUGAGUUGAAUGAAAAAAAAAAUCAGUUCAAUUAUAUAUUUAAAAACUGAGAUCGAAUAUAAUGGACAAAAAUAUAUAUUUACAUCGACUUUAAUAUAAUGAAGCUAUUCGUUUUUGGGCUAUUUUAAAAAUAUAAAAAAACAGCCUUCUAGGUAGGAAAGUGAGGAGUAGGAAGGCAAUUAAGAUAGCUUUGUUGAAUGCCCCACCUGCUGUUUAAUGUGGGCCUUGUGGCCAUCGCCUAAUGGUAGCGGUUGGGUCAUGAUAUUUUAUUUAGUGGGCCGGAUGAACUGGACUUACUUAUUUAAUUAGUCUAUUAGGCCUCUACUAUUGGGUCUCAAUGUUAUUGGGCCUAGUCACUAUCUUAUUUAUGGUAAGUCUUUAUAAAAUCGGGUCAGAUCAUUGGAUUGACCCAUUAGAUAUUAAAUAUCUAUUACUGUGACCGGUAAUGAUGAAAAAGUAUGAUGGUUGACUGUUGUAACUGCAAAUCAUUAAUGUGGAUGGAAUUAUUACCGGCCAGCGGCAAAAACAGUGCAUGGGAAAGGUGACAGCCUGCAUGCAGUCGGCAGAAGAAAUCACUGAAGAGUAGGGGGCUAUGUCAGACGGUAAUAAGUGACAUGAUAAACCGGGCAAGAGAGUAUAACCUAACAAGGAAGUCUUCAAGCAAACGGUAUGUACACACACAUUCAACUAAGAUUUUUAUCUCUCAAGACUUUAGAUAUUUUAUCAUCCAUUGUUAACCCUUGUGAACACUGGUACUGACUCUCACGUCUGAGCUAUCCCCCGACGGUCGAAGCAGUCAAGUUUUUGGUGUUGAUCGUGUUUACUGUACAGGAUCAAGGCAUCUUACGUGAUUGAAACGUUGGAGAAGAUCUUGGCGUUAACAGUAACAAACGAGUUCCAGUUCCUGUGUCGUUGAUAAGAUUUCUGAUGGUCGUGCGAAUGAUUUUGUGUUUCUCUUAAUUAAUCGUCUCAUGUAUUAAUCGUCUCAUGUCGUGUUCGUGUUUGAUACCGCGUCUACCAAUUAACUAUGCCAUGACAAUUGCGCUAAAGUCAGUCAAUUGUGGCGACUCCAUCCUUCCAAUAUAUAUAUAUAUAUAUAUAGAACUACGUUGUCAGAUUUAUUUUUAAUUUUUUGAUUUGAGAGAGAAUUAUUUUUUUUAAAAAAAUAAUUAUAUUAAAACAACAUAAUUUUAAUAAAUUGUGAAUAAUAAAACUUACAUAACUGUUUACGGUACUACUGCCCAUAUAUAUAUUCUUGGCCCUUAGACCAAAAACGUGUGCUGACCUUCCAGCGUUAUAUUCUUUUCACAUUUUCCGACUGUUAUUUUGAUAAUAUUCCCUCUAUUAUACCUUUUUUUUAGAAACUAAUUAUACUUUUCAAACAUAUAGGCCAGAUCUCAGACGGACCUUAAAGGACGGACUAACAACGGACUAAGAGAAAAAAAUCACGCGGGUCAUAAAAAGGGGAGAAACAAAACUCGCGGGUCACAGCUGAAAUGGGGAAAACAAAACUCGCGGGUCACAAUUGAAAGGGGGAAAACAAAUUCGCGGGUCACAGCUGAAACGGGUCACAGCUGAAAGGGGGGAAACAAAUUCGUCAAAGCUGAAAGGGGGAAAACCAAACUGAGCUAAGCUUUUCCACAAAUUCCCUCUCUUUCUCCCCAAAUUCUGCCAAUUCUCUCUCCCCGAUUCGAGCACCACAAAUUCCCUCUCUCUCAAAGCGAGUCUGAAGCAAACCGGAAGGCAAAAAGAAGAUCGAANNNNNNNNNNNNNNNNNNNNNNNNNNNNNNNNNNNNNNNNNNNNNNNNNNNNNNNNNNNNNNNNNNNNNNNNNNNNNNNNNNNNNNNNNNNNNNNNNNNNGGUAAAGGCGAAGUUCAGAUCUGUAGAUAGUUUUUUUUUAAAGAAAAUAUCAAUAUUAAAAUUUAAGAUUGAUAUUUGUGAUGGAAAAUUUUAUGAAAAAAGUAUGUUUAAGGAGGUAGUAGCUUCACAAAUCUUCAUUUGUGUUAAAAAGUCAUAUGUUACUCUUCCUAACUUCUGCAUUAGCCUGGAAUUUGUUGCUGUAGAUUUUAUUUAUGUCUUGGAAUGGCAUGCUCCUCUUCCAAUUUACCCCAAAGAGGAAGGGAGGGAUUUAUCCUGUUGGAAUAUUUGUAGUUUUUUGACUUUGCUUAUUAUGAACAUCUUUCUAGCUUCAGGGUUCCAAUUGCAUUGUUUAUCGUCAUAAUUUUUUUGUUACUUUACAAUUACGGGUGUUACUUCAGUUAUGUUGUAAUGAAAAAAAAGCGCGUAUUUGAAUCUAUUUGAUUAUUGUGAUAUAUAUUAUAUGAAUCUCUAGCAUUUACCCUGUUCUUUGAGUCUAACUUAACUAUGUGUGAAAUUGUAACUGAAUUGAUUAGUUGAUGCAGGAGGGACCCAUAUUUCAUGUUUAGAGGAAAAACUUCAAUUUUUUCAUCUUGAGUUGUGGGAGCAAAAACAGAGCUAGUUGUUUAAAGGAGAGGUUUGAAUGUUGAUGAUCAUUUUGGUCAUUGGAUUUUUGUUAUAAUUUUGAAGUACAAAAACAAGGAAGAUUUGUGAUAGUUCUUAUUUGUAGAUGGGGCUGUAAAGUGGAUUUUUAGUCUGUAAGGAUUUCUAUUCAUUGUGAUAAGUCAAAUGUGUGAUUUAAUGAUUUUUUGAAGAUUGGGUGUUAUCUUAAACCAUUUCAAUGGAUGUGAUACUACUUUAAACCAAAUGAAAAUUUUAAAUUCAUUUGAAAAAGUUGAGUUAUUUUUUUUAUCCAACAUAUAUUGCAAUAUAUACAUAUAGGCAUCUCCUUGUUUCUUGAAUUUUUUAGGUUUUGGUUACUUCAUAGCUCUGUUAUAGUCUAAUCUAUCAAAUUAUCAUUUCCAUGAAAAUUCAGUCCUGGCUUUCAUUGUCAGUGAUGCUUUGAUUAGUGGAAACGAGGUUAACACUCCGGCUCAUGGGAGUGAAAUGGACACUACGGUUCAUGGUGAUGGUGAUGAAGAUAUGGAGGAUAUAGGAGUGAAAUGGACACUACGGUUCAGUCUGCUCUCAACAUGCUUUGUGGUCUCUCUAUUGUACUAUUUACAGCUUUUCUUUGUUUGUUGUGGAUUGGUAGUGAUCAGAAUGAAUGUUAUAAUCUUCUCCCUACCUAAUCUCACUUCUGAUGUAUUAAUAUUAGAAUUGGAUUUUGAUUACGAUUAGAAACCUUGGAAUUUUAUUGUUAUCAUAGUGAAAAGUGGGGUGUUUGAGUAUGUUAUCUGUGCAAAUCAUAAGCAUUGGGCCAUCCAAGUAUAGAUGUGGAUUUUCUUCUAUUGAAGAAUGGUUGUGUCCAUUAGAAUUGCAUAUAAGCCAUAGCCUGCUCCAUUUUGCAUAUAAUAAGCCAGGUUCUUAUUCAACCACACCGCUCCUAAUCAAUAUCAUCUUUGUGUGUAAUAUGCAUGAAACAUCUAUACAUGUAAAAACCCAACAGCAGCUGUUUUCAUGGUUUCUAAGCAAAAUUAAACACAGCAUAUUUGGUGCAACUUGAGAAAAAAAUAAAGAAAUGAAUCCCCAAAUGAUAGCAUCCGCUGAAGUUUCAGUUUGGGUAUCUGUGUUACCUGAACAAAACAGAAGGUAGGCUCCUUCAGAUAAAUUACAUCAGUAGUGAUUACGCAUAUACAAAAAUGAAAUGAGAUUGAAACUAUAUGUGAAGAUCCCUUAGUUACAUAAUUCCGCAUCAGAAUUAGGCAAAAAAAUGAAGCAGAAAACUAGACUUGUCACUUGCGAUAGAAAAAAUUAAAAUAUUGAUUGAUGUAAAAUUUAACUAACAGUGCACACAAUAAUUCUUACAAUGGGUUUACCAUAAAGUAAGUUUCGUCUUCACUUACAAAUACUGGGUGACAUUGGUACUUCACAGCAUAGAAAUUAUGCAUUUUUCAUUAACCCUAGUAUUUCAAAUGAAAGGCAGAAACUGAAUGCAAACACAAGAAUCAGGCACAAUAGCUAUCUCAAACGCCUCUUGGGCCAUCUGCUACUGCUGGCUUAACUCUCCUCAGUGUCUCCUUUGCCUCGGAAAUUCUGCCUUGUUUCAUCAAACAGAUGCCCAAAUUGCACAUCUUGUUAUUGUCUGCUGCAAUCACUAGUGCCCUUCUAUAAGCAUCCUCAGCUUCAAUGUAGUUGUUCUGCUGCAUAAGUGCCCAUCCCAAAUUCCCCUGAAAAACACGGGGGGAAAUCAUGAUUAAGACUAAAAAAAUCCACUUUUUAUUAUUUUUUUUGUUUCAAAAAGAAAGUGUCUUUAUGAUAUUCUUACCAAUAAUCGAGUAGCUUCUUGUUCCACAGAAACCUGGAAUUUCUUCCCUUGAGAUCGUGCUGUCUUUGUGCGCUUCCCAUUGAAAGCCAUCCCUUGAUGAAUCAAGAACAAUUUGCGUCUCAACAAGCCAAUUUGGUCAUCCAAUCUCCCACAUCUCUGUACAAAUCAAAGUCCAUCAGGAUUUUAACUAAACACUAAUAAAGAAUUCAAUAAGUAGAAAGUUUUAAUCUUUCAAGUACCUUGUAAAGAUCUAACAGGAUGUUAUCAAGGGACUCCUGAGAUUGUUCUGAACACCGGCUUCGCAAUGACUUGAUGGCCUCAAUGGCUUCCUCUGCUCUAUUCUGUUGCUUCAUUACAAUAGCCAUAUCUUUCAGAGCACUAUCCACUCUAUCUCCUGCAUUUAUGGCUGUCCAGAAUAGAGGUAUCGCCUUUUCCGGAUCCUUUUCCACCAACUGAUAAAAAACCAAGAAACACCCAUUAAAAUUAUAGGAUCAAUCAAUAACAUAUUAACCACAAGUAUCAUAAUAUAUAAAAUCAAGAGUAACCAUUUCAUAAAAAAGAAAGAGCACUAAAUGCAAAGAUAUCAAGAAAAAUUACAGAUCAACAACAUCGUAACCAGAAGAAUACCCCAUCAAUUCAAACAAGGAAAUUUACAAAAAUUAAGUAAAAUCAAGAGUACCCAUUUCUUAAUAAAGUAAAAAGAUUACUAAAUUAAACUAAACAUACCCAGAAAAAUUAUAUUUGUUAGAGCCCAAAUCUAGACAACUGUGCAAAUAUUAAUUCAUACACCCAUCAAUAGAUGUAGAUUUACAACACCAUAAUAAUUCAUAACCAGGAGUACCCAGUAUUCAGAAUUAAGGAACUACAAAAAUAAAUCCAAAUUAAGUAUAUCCAUUUUCUUUAAAAAAAAAAAAUGAACACCAAAACCAAAGAUAACCGGAUAAAUGAUGACUGAUUAUCGCCAAAUAUGCAGAUACUAAGAAAUCCAAAGAUGCUUACUUGAACAUUUUUGGCUCUAACGUAAGGAGUGUCACAAACUGGGAUUUUGUGAGUCACAUGAAAAGAUUCAGAUCUAGUUCGGGAAACCCCAAGAGGUUUAGCUGGUGAACAAGGAGCAGAUUUAGUGGGUCUAAACCCAGGAGGAGCAUUCCACAUUUCUUGGGACAUUCUUUUUCCUUCCUUUUUUUCCUGUGAAAAGGCAGAGAUGAUGAAGAAAUGCGGAGUGGGUAUUCUUGUUCACCAGCUAAAAUUGAUUCUAUGAUGGACCAAUCUUAGAACCAAAGUGAAACAAAAUGGAAGAUUGGGGAUGGGUUUGAGGUGAGAGAAUCGGAAGAUUGGGGAUGGGUUUGAGAGAAUCGGGGAUGGGUGAACCAAUCUCACACGGUCUCUUUUUUAUGACCCGUUCAAUUGCUUUUGACCCGCGUGUCUUAACCCGCGUGUCCUUUUGGUCCGUUUGAUGGUCCGUUAAAUUGGUCCGUGGGAGAUCUUGGCUGUUCAAACAUAUAUCUACUAUUUGCUAAAAUUGUAGUAAUAAUUGCGGUAGGGUAGCAUUCAUCUAAGUAAUAACACGUUAAAAACUUUAUUUUUAUUUAUAAUUUAAAAAUAAAAAUAUAUUUUUAAUUUUAGUUUAGCAAAAUGUAUAUUCAAUUUUGAGAUGGAAGGAAUACUAUUAUAUCGGUGGUUUGUUGAUGAAGCGAAGUCAAUUAGGAAACGUUUCUGAUAUGAAAUGGUCAACUGAGCAGAAAAUUCCCCUCCCACAAUCUCCCAAGUCAUACAAAAUAUAUUAACAAUUUCACAAACCACUAACAACAAAAACCAAAAUCCCAGUUUGUGAGGCCUUGUGCUUAAUUCAUGAUUUAGAAUGGAUUUUUUACAUCUCAUCUGUGUCUUGUCUAUUUGUCUCGUCUCUUCUUCCUUUUCAUUGAUACAUGCACAACAGCCUUACGCUAGAAAAGCCACCACAAACUGCCAAAUCGCGGAUAAUUCGACCUCAGUCCUCGGAUACACCUAUAAUGGCAUUAGCCCCAGCUGCCAAGCUUAUCUCACCUUCAGAUCCCAACCUCCAUUCGACUCUGUUUCUUCCAUUUCAAACUUAUUGGCUGCUGAUCCUUCCGAGCUCUCUCAACUCAAUUCAGUUCCCGUGGACACAACAUUUGAACCAGACAAGAUAGUGCUUGUUCCUGUCAACUGCUCCUCCUCAGGGUCAGGUCUGUACUACCAAGCAAACACGUCUUACGUUGUCCAGAGUGGGGACGGCUUUUUUGUUAUAGCAAACAACAUUUUCCAAGGCCUGUCAACUUGUCAAGCUCUCCAGGCUCAAAAUAAUGUUACCGCAACAAAUUUAAGUAUUGGUAUGAGAAUUUAUGUCCCUUUAAGAUGUGCUUGUCCUACUAAGACCCAAAGUGAUGCUGGUGUCAAAUAUCUGCUGAGUUACUUAGUUACUUGGGGCCAAGAUGUUCCGACUUUAAGUAAUAUAUUUGGGAUGGAUACUGGGAGGAUUCUUGAAGCUAAUGGUCUAUCGAUAGAAGACCCUGUUAUAUAUCCUUUUACCACCCUUCUAAUUCCUCUGCAAAACCCUCCGUCAACUAAUCAAACCAUACAACCGCCUACAUCAGCGCCUCCACCACCACCGCCACCUGUCCCUUCUUCGAGUGACAGCUCAGAUAAAACAUGGAUAUAUGUUGUAGCCGGAGUUCUUGGAGGGCUUUCUCUUUUAUUUGUCAUUGGAGCUGUUAUUUUCUUUGUGUUCUUUCGUAAAAGUAGGAAGAAAUUUGAUAAACCAAUAAUUGCCUCAGAAAGUUUUGAGGCAAUUGAGAAACCAACUGAGAAAAAGUUGGAGGAAGAAUCCGAGUUCUUUGAUAGUGUAUCUGCUAUAGCUCAAUCCCUCAAAGUAUAUAGUUUUGAGGACCUUCAAUCUGCAACAGAGAAUUUUAGUCCUAGUUGUUGGAUUAACGGAUCAGUUUAUCGUGGUACAAUCAAUGGGGAUUUUGCUGCAAUUAAGAAAAUCAAUGGAGAUGUGUCUAAGGAAAUUAGUAUACUAAACAAGAUCAAUCAUUUCAAUCUCAUACGCCUUUCAGGUGUUUGCUUCAAUGAUGGAAAUUGGUACCUUGUUUAUGAGUAUGCUGUCAAUGGACCCUUGAGUGAGUGGAUAUACAACAACAACAACAACAACAAUAGCAAUCAAAAGUUUUUGACAUGGACACAGAGAAUUCAGAUUGCCUUAGAUGUGGCUACAGGGCUAAAUUAUCUCCAUGGCUACGCUUUCCCUCCAUAUGUCCACAAGGAUAUAAAAAGCAGUAAUGUUCUUCUUGAUAGCGAUUAUAGGGCCAAGAUUGUUAACUUUAAUCUGUCAAGGGCAGCCGAUGGGGAGGAUGGUGAAUUCGUCUUGACAAGGCACAUAGUCGGAACAAAAGGUUACAUGGCUCCUGAGUAUUUGGAAAAUGGUAUGAUAUCCCCAAAGCUUGAUGUUUAUUCAUUUGGGAUUCUCAUGCUGGAGAUACUUACAGGGAAAGAAGUUUCUUCGCUGUGCCAAGGUGUAAACACAGAUUUAAGCGAUGUCCUAAUCUCCAUUCUUCAUGUGGAAGAUGGUAAGGAGAGUUUGAGCAGCUUCAUGGAUUCAUCACUGCAAGGGAAUUAUCCACCGGAUCUUGCCAUAUUCAUGGCCAGACUAAUUGAUAGUUGCAUUGAGAAAGAUCCAUCAGGUCGCCCGAACAUGGAUAAGAUUGUGCAGUCUCUCUCAAGAACUAUGAAUACUUCACUCUCUUGGGAACUGUCAAUUAGCAUCUCAGCAUAAGAAAGUUUGAGCUAGAUCUUUUUGUUUAUUGUUUUGUAGUUUUGUUUGUUCUCUUUUAACCUUUUAUAUAUAUUGUCAUGAUUCAUUAUUUGUAUGUCAACUCAGAUAAUUUUCAGAAUAUGAUUAUCCCUUAGUAGUAUGAAAUGGAGAGGAUCCUAAUUCGAAAUUUACUACUACAAUUAAAAUUAACUGGACUACUAAUUAAUGAUUUGAAUUCCUAAAUACAUCAAGUAAAAGCAAAAGCAAAAGCAAACAAAGGAGAAUUUUACACUAUUUCAAGCUGUUGAGUUGAAAGUUUCUAUCAGAAAAACUAAUAGGCAAGGGCUCAGACAGUCUUCGGUCGCGCCAACUGCUGCUCGUAUAUUAUAUGCAUAUUUUUGGUGUAGAUUAGUUAGCUGUUAAUUGUCGUCUACCUACCCUAACCCGGCCCCAGAGGUGGGAAACCAUUUCCCUCUAUCACCCUUCAAAAUGAUCAAAGUUGGAUUCUUAUGUCCCUGCAGAUUAUAAAUUAUUGGUAAUACAAUUAUAUAUCUUCGAAUAAUUGGACAUAAGUGCUUUACAAUUUCACAUAUUUGUAUGGGGUAAAAUACAAAUAGAUGAACUUGUAAAACACUAAUGUCCAAUUAUCAUGUCCGCAUAGAAGAGCUCUAUAUCUCCUGAGCAAGUCUAUAAUAGCGGUUACUUAUACGGAACGCCAUCAAAGCUAAAAGAAUGAAUGCAUUGUUGAAUGUGUAUAUGGAUUGGAGCCACUUUAGCAUUUUAUUUUUGUUUAUUUACUUGUGGAACUUCUAGUCUUCCAGCUGAGCUAUAUCAUAGACUGAGUACUGGUACAAUUUUCUAUUUUUGAGCGUCUCUAGUUAGAAAUGUUACAAGCACAUAUAGGUAGUCAGCUAUGGUCGGAGAUACUAAUAAACUUAACUUGGAACAUAAGAAACCAAAAGCCUGCAGAAGAACAAGGAAAACCUACCGACUCCAUUAUAUUAACCAUUUAUGCUUGUAACAAGUUCCACCUAAUUUGUAGUAGUAAACAUGAGAAACAAAUGGCCUGCAAAAGAACAUACAUGUUAGCUUCUGUCAGCAUGCAUGUCCACAGCUGUUACAAACUGUUUUGUCAUAGCCGCUAAUCUAUCACCUCCUGUGUGUAAUAAAAUGUUACUAUUACUACUACUGCUACUACUACUACUACUUUUCACGUAAAUUUCUCUCUCCGUUUUAGUUCGGCUGUUGGCGUCAGGAGGAAUCUUGAAAAGUAAUUCAAGAUUCCUCUUCAUUCUUUAAUGUGAAGUCUUUCCUAAUCACGAGGGUUGGCUCAGUCUGGAGAUUGUUUACUUGACAAUAGCUAGCGUGUAUCCAUGGAAAACACCCUUUGUUUAUUGAAGAUAAUAUUCUUUUAGGAAAGUUGAAUCAUUAAAUAUCUGGGUUUUGUUUGCGCAGUGGAGUUGAUUUUUGGAGAAAAACAUUGCCAUUGUCCACAGGCACAUUAAGGUAGUGUUUUAUACCCUCUUAAGUCAACUAGAAUGCAACUAAACUUUUGGAGUAUAGUUUAUUUUUUAAGAAAAUAGUGACGGUGGUGCUGAUGUUGCAAAAAUUUUUAUAAUCAUCAAAACUCCCAUCUGGAAUUAGUUCUGUUCAAGAAAAUAGUUCACCAUGUAUCAGUUUCCACUCAAUUUUUUCAUAUUCCUUGGCCUUUUGACUUCAGCUUUCAAUGCCCAACAAAUGUACUCAGGGUCUUUGGUUUAUGACUGCAAUAACACCGAUGAAGCAGGUCCAUCUCCAGCUUUUCUUUACACCUGUAAUGGCGAAAAGAAGUCAUGUCCAGCCUUCUUGAUCUUCAGACCUCAACCUCCUUAUGAUUCAGUCACCAACAUAUCAAACCUCACAUCUUCAGACCCCUCAGAGCUCGCUCGCAUCAACAAAAUCUCAAACACUACAGUCUUGACUCCAGAAAUAGAGGUGAUUGUUCCUGUUACUUGUUCAUGUUCUGGUCAGUACUAUCAGGCUAACUCCUCUUAUGUUAUUGUUCGAGAUGACACUUAUUACACAAUUGCAAAAGACAGAUAUCAGGGGCUAACUACGUGUGAUUCCUUAAGGCGCCAGAAUCCUUAUGAUGAAUUAAGGUUGGAUAUGGGUACAAAAUUGCAGAUACCACUUAGAUGUGCCUGUCCAACAAGUAAUCAACGCGAGGAUGGUAUAAAUUUUCUUUUGACAUACGUGUCUAUUGGUGAUGAAAAUGUUGAACAAAUUAGUGAUAGUUUUAAAGUAACUAGUACAAGUGUAGUUUAUGCAAAUGGGCUAUCCGAAGAAGAUUCAACUCUUUACGAUUUAACCACUAUUUUAAUUCCAUUGCAAGCUGAACCUUUUAGCUCUCGGACCGGAAAAUAUUUUCCCUCUCCACCAUCUGGUCCUGACCUUAGGAAAAGAAAUUCAAAGAAGGGAGUUUUCAUUGGGAUUGGAACUGGUGUUUCUAUCGUGAUUCUCUGUUGUGCUUUGUAUCUGGUUUAUUUGUCUUGCAGGAGAUAUAAAACCGACGAAUCUAUUUGUAGGAAAAGGAAAUGGGUGUUACCACAACAUCUUGUAGUUGGCAUUGCUCACGUUGAUCAAGAGUGCUUGAAAGUUUUUGAAUAUGAUGAAUUAGCAGAGGCUACUGAGAAUUUCAGCCCCGAAAACAGAUUGGGUGCUUCUGUUUAUCACGGGGUGCUUCGUGGUAAGAUGUUAGCCAUUAAAAAGAUGAGCACAGAUGUGUCUAAAGAGGUGAAAAUUCUUAAGAAGAUCAACCACUUCAAUCUGAUCAGCCUAUAUGGUGCUUGUGAACAUGGUAAGAUUUUCUAUCUUGUUUAUGAGCUCAUGGAAAAUGGUUCUUUGAAGGAAUGGCUCAGCAAAAAGAGUUGCCCAGAAAUUCAGAGUUGGAAUUAUAGGAUUCGUAUUGCUUUGGAUGUUGCUAAUGGACUCCUGUAUCUGCAUAACUUCACCAAUCCAGCAUAUGUGCACAAGGAUAUUAACAGUAGCAAUAUUUUACUCGAUAGAGAUUUAAGGGCCAAGAUUGCAAACUUCAGCCUUGCAAGAUCGACAGAGAACGGAGAAAAGGGAAAUUCCUCCAUCAAAUUUACUAUGGAGACAAAAGGAUACAAGGCACCAGAGUACUUGGAAUCUAACAUGGUGACACCUAAGAUGGAUGUUUAUGCAUUCGGGGUCGUUUUGCUGGAACUUAUUACAGGUAAAGAAGCUAUUAUCAAGCAGGACGGAGAAGAAGUUAUGCUGUCUGAAGCAGUACUUGCAGUUGUGGAUGGAAGAGAUGCAGAAACUAAACUUCAGCACCUCACAGAUCCAUGUCUGCAAAUGAAGCAUCCUCUUGGUUACAUCAUUGAUCAAAGUGAACUAACACUGCGCAUGAUUAAAUUAAGUGUAGCAUGUUUGGCGCCUGAACCCUCAAGAAGAUUAAGCAUGUCUGAAGUGGUUUCGACUCUGAUGAAGAUUCAAAUGGAUGCCCAGAAACCAGAAUUCGUGUCUAUGUAGUAGGUCUUGUGGCCUUUUUGAAAUUUUCAUUUGCUAGUUUACGCAUUUCAAGUAUCUGUAGAUAUAUGGAAUGCAAGUUGGACAAGUGAACUUGUUUGCAUGUUGCCGACUGUUUCCAAAGAUGAAAUAAAAUUUGUAUCAUCAAAAUUAAACAUCAUCACACUAUGCUUUUCGUAAGAUUGGUCAAAAGUCUAGUGUCUUCAUGGCCAGCGCCACCAAGAUGUAUAAAUCUAGAACUGCAAGCAGCUUGACUAAUAAUCUUGAUUAAGAACGGACGUUGUCCAAAGCACAACCUGACAAAGCAGCUAACUGAAACGUAUAAUUCUGACCUAGGAAGGACCUUCUCCGAAGUGCAACCCAUAACAAAACCAGUUAAUCAAGACACUUUCCUUUAAGUAACUUCUUAUGCUAACUUUUACGAAGAUGUCCUGUGAAAUGCAUGCCUAAGCACAAAAAAGUUAUUUUCCUAUAUGAACAGCAGGGAAUAUAUAAUAUAAGUGUAGAUUAACAACAGGGAUUGCCAUGUACAAAAGUACAGACAUCUAUUCAUUAUAUUUAUUUUCCUCUAUAAAUCAAAGAUUAUAAAGUACAUUUAAAGUACAUGUGGUGCUCAAGGUCAAGUAUUGAUUGCAUGAAAUAGCAGUUUUUAUUGUUUAUCGAGUCUCCUGAAGUUUUCAUCUGUAAAAGGUUUUGGUCCUAUUGAACUAAUAAUGAUAGGGAUAAGGUAUAUAUAUCUGAGAGAGGAUGGAAAAGCAGACCACCAUUCCAUUCAGUAAGGAAAGCUGCCUGUAAGUCGAAUGUGGUCAAGAGGCCUCGUGAGACCAUACUUGAGCACUGCCUUAUUACCCUCUCUGAAUCCAUCUCCAUAAGCUGCUGAGGUAUCAGACUCAAUCCGGUGUUUAAAGAAGUCGCCAAGUUUCUUUUCGAACUCCGACCUUUUACCCUUCUUAGAUGAUGUUGGACCAGAGGAUGAAGAAGAGGAAGAGGAUGAGGAUGAGGACGAGGACGAUGAAGUUGAGGAAACAUUACUAUUAGAACCAGCAGUAAUCUCAGAAUCCAACCACAUAUGAGCUAGCACUUGGCAAAUACCUUCUUCAACCUCUGGACUUAGAUUGGGAUAGCCUACAAAUGACUCACCAUAUGGCAAUUUCAGAAGAUAUAACAUACGCGGUACAAUCAAAAUAAGUUUUUCACAGCUAAGACAAGCGCACCUUUAAGCCGUAGCCAUGCUUGCAUCAUCUCAUGUGCCAGGAUAGAUCCAGUCAACAACCUGAAUUUGAGAGUUUUUGUUAGUAUUUCAAGAAGCGCAAGCAUGAAGUAUGACUACAGAUGAGAUAGGAAAUACAGAAAUAUUACCUAGGGAGACUAUACAAAAUGAGAAUAGCUGUCACUUCGCAUGGACGGAUGAGCCUUAAAGGCUCUGUAAACAUGUCUAUGAUCCGGUAGCCUUCCCCAAUCCUAGGCCUCCUUGAAAUCUUUUUUUUUUCAGUAAAACAUAUGUACAGUCUGGGUUUAGAAAAUAAAUAUAUCUCUAAAGAACUAAACCAUUCCAUAGAUUACAUUUCAAAGGAAAAAUAUUCAUACACUGCUAAUGGUUUGUUCUUCUGACAGGCAAAGACCUCUAGUCUCAGGCAUGUGAUGAUGACCCUGCACAAAAAAGGAAAUCUUGAACACAAGUAGAAGCAAAAACAGAAAAUAAACUGUGGAUAUAUGAUAAUUUUAACGCAUCUGCCUCACAUUUUUUUCUCCCUCCAUGGCCUCAUUGAGCGCUUGUCUCUCAACCAAGAGCAUUGGAAUUUGUUGCUCCACUUUCAUAUUUAAUCCUUCAUAAAAUUCUUGUAUUUCAAGGUAAAGUGGUUGACAUUCACGAGUAUCCAUUAUAGCAGAAUCCAGGCAUUCUAGACAUAGCUUCCGACCAUCAUCUAGUAAAAGAUAUCUUGUGUCCCGUGGCUGCAUUAAGAUAAAAAGGGCUUUGAGUUGAAACCAUUGCAGGAGAUGAUAAAUAUUUUCCUUUUAUUAUUAUUUUUCUCUUAUUCCAUUUGCUGAGUUUCAAGAGACCUUAUGAGUAUUUGUAUUGAGUUUACUUUUCUCUAAUUUGGUAUUAUUUUUCCAAUCACCUCCCUUUUGCCUUCUGGUUUAGAAGAGACUAGGAGUGGGAUAUAGGGUGGGCAAGUUUUUUCAGCAGACCUCCAUUCUCUCGCAGCUACAACAUCUCGGCGUCCCAUCAUGCUCAUGUGAGGGGCAGUACUUUUGUAACCAGAAAUGAUGUGCCCUGUACUCAAUAAGACCAGCCAUAUUUGUUGGGAUCUGUAUGAAAUAGAAGAAAAGCAAGACACCCAAGCUCAGUCAAAGGACAGGAAUAUGUUAAAGAAUUAGGGCCUUUCCUGGUUACCAAAGUAUUAACGGAGAUAAACCUGUUAAUCUAAUUCAAAGCUUGUAUAUAACAACACCUAGAGCAGCGAUAAAAAUCAUGCCCGAGGAUCUCAAUAUGCGCAAGUUAAAAUAUUUCACAACCCUAAGCCCAAUAAAAGGCACCUCUGUCAUGAUCCAAACUCGAGGAAAAUGGGCUAUCAACAGUCAUGAAACAUGGGUACCCCAUGAAACAUCAGUGUGCAAUUUGGUUGGUAUUAAACAUUUGCAUAUUAUAUUAGGCUUCAAUACUACUGUUUAGAUGAUUCAUCAGCGAAGCCAGCCAAAAAUUACAUUCUACAAAUGAAAAGUCUAUCUGAAAUGUAGCACACGAUGUAUACAUAAAAGCUGAGUCCAAAGUUAUUUUUAGAGAAUUGAUAUUUCCACAAGUAAAUUUGAUAGUUCCACAAGGUCCUCCUCUCUCACAUGAGGUGGACCCCACUUACUAUUUAUGUGAGGAGAAACUUGUGGAACUAUCAAGUUUACUUGUGGAAAUAUCAAUUCUCUAUAUUUAUUCAAGAUAUAUAUAUAUAUAUAUAUAACCAAUUUUUUUCCUCCUUUCCCUACUUGUAUUUUCUUAUAUAGGGCAUUCUCAAAUUCGAAUACUAUUCUCUCAGAGAGAGUAUUACCACUCGUUUAGAGUAUAAUCACUUGUUUCAUACUGCUUAGACAAUUUGAUGGGACUUACAUCAGCAUGUGCACUUUAAAUAGACCAUCAGAAAUCAUUCUAGCAGCCUCUACAUAUAGUCUUCUUUAAUUUUUCUUAGGGAAAAAAGCAUGCUUAAAAUUGAGAGAGAAAGUUAAUAUGUCAACACAUAAGAUAGAGACUUACAAAGUGCUUGCAAACAUCACAUCUUGGGUAAGACGCUCCUUGUAACAGGUUUUGUGGUAUGGGCGGUUCUCAGAUAUAGAAAACUGCAGAGAUUGCACAGAAUAGUAUCAUUUUAACUACACCGUUCAAACCAACAUUUGUUCAUAUCAGGUUUUAUAUUGUUUAUCUUGUGUCUAACAGACACAAGAAAACAAUUAGCCAAAUCUGAAAUAGACCUGGAUCAGUUUUGCACCUCAUAAUCAGAUAUUGGUAGAUUGCAAGCAUGGCAGCAGAAACAUUCUGGAUGCCAAACACCUCCCAUGCAACUCAAAAAUCGACCAUGACCAAUUUCAGUAUUGCAACCUGCACAGAUCCUACAAUCAUAUCGUUUGGAUGACAAGGUCAGAGUUCAUAUGGAAUCCUUAAAAUUCAGGAAGAGAUUUAUACUUUUGAGGAGUAUUAUGCCUCAAACAAGUAACUUUCGCACAAGAGAUUCAUUUCCAUCUGUAUGUCGACCAGAUACUUUUGAGUAUUUUGCAGUGUCUUUUUCCUCUCUAGUUACAUACAUUGCAAGCACAAACAAGUUAUACUGCAUCAUGGUGAGGCUUUAUCUUGAUUAUAUUUAUGCAACCAUUAGAUUUGCAGACAUCCAAACAAGUAACUUGUAGUAACAUUUUUCAACCUCUGAACAGUGGAGAUCAUAAGCUCGAAAGCAACUUUCAGUUGAUAUCUUUAAGUGUAUUUGAUCCACACAUGUCUAGAGAAAACUUGUUUUGUAAAUAAAAUGCCUAAAUCAAGAUAUGUCAAUCUGCACCUCUCCCGAUCAAUUACUGCCUCUGGUCGCGCAUGAGGCCAAAUAAGCUAACAUGACAGGGAAUGUAAAUAUUUUGGAAAGCAAACAAUAUCAACUAACAUUUAAAAAGCAUCAGCUCCAUAUGAUUGCACGGGCCUUAGAAAUCCUACAGCCUGUUUCACAUCUUAAUACUAUUUGACUAUUUCUUUACACAAAUCUAAUUGCAGAGAGUUAUAGGUGAAUGUUUAAACCAAGUAUGCACACAAAAUUUGAUGGACACGUGUAUACAAAUAUAUCAAAGGUGGAAAUUGAUAGAUUAUGUUUCUCUAAUAGAGUUGGCAACAAUAAUUGAUUUACCUGUAUCCAGAUGGACAGAAGUAAGGAAAAGGUUGAAAAAAAUUUCCAAAAUCAUAUUGAGGCAGAGAUUCUAUGUUCAAACUUUCCUGAAGAGCUCUGGCAAGCUGUUCAUCUUCCUUCACAUGAGGUUCAGGUUCAUCAUCUAGCAAAUCAAAUGAACGAGAUUAUUAUAACUGAAGAAAACAACCGUUUCCAGUUAACCUUGCAAGCAUCUGAAUCAAAACGAAGUCAAUAGUCAUACAUCAUUCUGCCUUGAGUGAUAAUUGAUAAUGCAGAUCCAAGUAAAACACAUCAAAGUAAGACUUUCAUUUGUCUAAGCAACUUGAGACAAAUUUCUUGUUGGUCAAAGUCCUUGGUCCUCACCCAUUUAAUGAACAAUUUGACCGCCCUUUGAAUUGUCCAAGCACCAGGCCCUUUGAAUUUCAUGCCAACUUCAUUUAUUUCCCCUCCCCUCCAUUCUGCUAUAAAAGGCAGCCAAGACAUGAGGGAAAAACACACCAACACACCAAAAUUCAAGCUCUCAUCCAAGAGUAGAGAGAAAAAGAAAAAGGUGGGUGAGAGAAAUCCCAUCCGGGGAAGAUGGAUGAAAGUAAUCCCAUCAGGGAGAGGGUGGAAGAGAGCAAGAAAAAGAGAGAAAAUAGAGAGAGAAAGAUAGUUCAAAUAAAAGGGUGUUUUAUUUGGGUUCCAUCACAUAGUUAUUGUGGUGAAGUAAUUUGGGUUUGUACUCAAAUUAAGAUAUCUUUGUAUUCUCUCAUAUUAUUCUAGUGAAUUUUUCGGAGUUUGUCUCGUGGUUUUUACCUCUUAGUUUAGAGGGUUUUCCACGUAAAAUUCUUGGUGUCUCGUGGUUGGAUAUUUUUACUCAUUAUUUCCUGCAGUGGUUAUUAUUUUGGUGGAACUGCAAAUUUAAUCUGUUUGGCAUGUGCUGAUAUUUUAUCCGUCUAAUUUAUCAAAGACAACAGUAUUUGAGAGGUGAUUUUUUCUCAACAUUUCUAAGUGCGUAUCAAAGGCAUGUUUUGAAAAGUCAUAAGAACAAAUCGCUUUCAUAUUUAAAAAACUAACAGCCAUGCAACUUACCUAUUACUUGUUUUCCUUUCUGAUCUUCUUCUGCAAAGGAAAUUGCAAUAGCAUGAUCAAUAUCUUCAUGCUCAAAAUCUGACCAUGCAUCCUACAUCAAAGUCCUAGAAGAAGAUGAAAUCAACUCAAGAAGAAAAAUAUAAGAGCUACAUCAUAGUAAUUAGUAUACAAUUUUUUUAAAUAUAUGUUUAAUCGAUCUAUUACCAGGAAAGGACCAGCCUAACUACAUGAAACAUGAGCUAUUCAUCAAAUGAUAUGUCUAAGAAGCAGAAGCAUUGAUUACCACUGAAGUAGAAGGACCAUCCCAAAUUUUCUCAUCAUCGUAUUUCCCAUGCUAUUGCCCUUCUGAGAUUUUAUAGCUGGAUCCUUUGAGAAUCUUAGUUAGCCAACCCAUAUCACGAUUUCCCCUUGUGGGUCGACAGAUUUUCAGCUGCAUACAAAAUCAUUUAUAUCGGUAACAAAAUCAAACCUUAGCUAAUUAGGAGAGCUCAUACUACUGCAGAUCUAUUUAGUAACAGUUCAUAAUUACGAGGCAAUAGAUUCUUUAUUAGGCAUACGUUUUGGUCAAAAGCAUUGUCAAAUUUGUUUUAGACAGACGACAAUAUAAAUACUAGCAGACCCAUGAAAAGACAGAAUUUCAAACAAUGAUUCUGUUGUCACUGCACUCAAACAAGUAAUAUCACUUGCACAGUAGUUAGAACAUUUAUACCAUCAUUUGAUCAGUAAAAAACACAAUUUUUUAUACAUUGUACAAUUAAACAUCCUCUUCAACAUAAAGGAAAGAAAAAAGAAGGCAAAAUAGAACUGGAAGGAAAGAGGAACUGAGGCCAAGUUAACAGUAACCUAGAAGAAAAAAGAUAAUUCAACAAUGCAGGUGAUUCAGAUGAGGUCAUAAUAACUAUUUGAAGAGUUUAAUGAAGAGCUUGAUUACAGAGAAGAGGUUCUCUAUUCAAUCCUAACAAAUGAAUUUUCACCAUUAUCAAUAUGAAGAUCAAAGAAGGACAAUAAAUAUCAACAAUUAUAAAAUCCCAAGAGAAUCCAUCCACACUUUCACUAACAAAAUAGAGAACAGAUUUGCUCAAAUAAACCCAUGUAAAAGAAAAAGAAGAGUGCAAAAGAUGCCAUUCAAGUGAAGAAAGAGAUAGGAUCAUGUGGUGUGGGCAAACACUUUACCUCUAAGAAUUAAAGAAAUUGUUGAUAAAAUGGAAUCUGAUGAAACCCAGAUCACAUGGAGUGCCCAAUUCACUUGGGAGCACAGUCACAUAAAACAUAUAUAUUUUCUUAUUUAAUUAAUUCUGCCUCAUACCCUUUCUUCUACCAGUCCUGACAAAAUCAAAUUACUAUAAUUUUACAUGCACAGAAAGCAAAAGUCGGAUGAACAUUCUUAUAAAAGAAAGAAGAUGAGAAAAAAAAAA
rnacentral:lncRNA from 1 species